rnacentral:rRNA from 1 species
UUCGGGGUUAGCGGCGGACGGGUGAGUAACGCGUGGGAAUAUGCCCUUUGCUACGGAAUAGCCCCGGGAAACUGGGAGUAAUACCGUAUACGCCCUUUGGGGGAAAGAUUUAUCGGCAAAGGAUUAGCCCGCGUUGGAUUAGGUAGUUGGUGGGGUAAUGGCCUACCAAGCCGACGAUCCAUAGCUGGUUUGAGAGGAUGAUCAGCCACACUGGGACUGAGACACGGCCCAGACUCCUACGGGAGGCAGCAGUGGGGAAUCUUAGACAAUGGGGGCAACCCUGAUCUAGCCAUGCCGCGUGAGUGAUGAAGGCCCUAGGGUUGUAAAGCUCUUUCAGCUGGGAAGAUAAUGACGGUACCAGCAGAAGAAGCCCCGGCUAACUCCGUGCCAGCAGCCGCGGUAAUACGGAGGGGGCUAGCGUUGUUCGGAAUUACUGGGCGUAAAGCGCACGUAGGCGGACCGGAAAGUUGGGGGUGAAAUCCCGGGGCUCAACCUCGGAACUGCCUUCAAAACUAUCGGUCUGGAGUUCGAGAGAGGUGAGUGGAAUU